rnacentral:siRNA from 1 species
UUGUGCAAUUCGACAUAGUCUGAC